GUAGGGAAUUUUCGUCAAUGGGCGCAAGCCUGAACGAGCAAUGCCGCGUGAACGAGGAAGGUCUUCGGAUCGUAAAGUUCUGUUGAAGGGGAAAAAGAGCGGAGAGAGGAAAUGCUUUCUGAUUGAUAUUACCCUUCGAGGAAGUCACGGCUAACUACGUGCC
rnacentral:rRNA from 1 species